rnacentral:misc_RNA from 1 species
AAGUCGUAACAAGGUAUCCGUAGGUGAACCUGCGGAUGGAUCAGUGGGGGGUAUUGAAUGGAGUGUGAUAAGAGUAUGGGGAGAUGGAUUGAAGUGAGUUGGGUUAGUGAGUUGGUGUUUAGUACAGCUUUUAGCAACGGAUCUCUAGGCUCUC